UGCCAGCCGCCGCGGUAAUACGAAGGGUGCUAGCGUUGUUCGGAAUUACUGGGCGUAAAGAGCAUGUAGGCGGUUUAGCAAGUUGAAGGUGAAAUCCCGGGGCCCAACCCCGGAACUGCCUCCAAAACUGCUAGACUAGAAUUCAAGAGAGGUAGGCGGAACUUCCAGUGUAGAGGUGAAAUUCGUAGAUAUUGGAAAGAACACCAGUGGCGAAGGCGGCUCUCUGGACCAACACUGACGCUCAUGUGCGAAAGUGUGGGUAGCGAACAGGAUUAGAUA
rnacentral:rRNA from 1 species